UGAGGAAUAUUGGUCAAUGGGCGGAAGCCUGAACCAGCCAAGUAGCGUGCAGGAUGACGGCCCUACGGGUUGUAAACUGCUUUUAGGCGGGGGUAAAGGGGCGCACGCGUUGCGCCUUUGCAAGUACCGCCAGAAAAAGGACCGGCUAAUUCCGUGCCAGCAGCCGCGGUAAUACGGAAGGUCCGGGCGUUAUCCGGAUUUAUUGGGUUUAAAGGGAGCGUAGGCCGCCUUUUAAGCGUGUUGUGAAAUGCAGUCGCUCAACGUCUGCACUGCAGCGCGAACUGGAGGGCUUGAGUGCACGGGAAGCUGGCGGAAUUCGUCGUGUAGCGGUGAAAUGCUUAGAUAUGACGAAGAACCCCGAUUGCGAAGGCAGCUGGCUGUAGUGCCACUGACGCUGAAGCUCGAAAGUGCGGGUAUCGAACAGGAUUAGAUACCCUGGUAGU
rnacentral:rRNA from 1 species